rnacentral:rRNA from 1 species
UACGGGGGGGGCAAGCGUUGUUCGGAAUUACUGGGCGUAAAGGGCUCGUAGGCGGCCAACUAAGUCACACGUGAAAUCCCUCGGCUUAACCGGGGAACUGCGUGUGAUACUGGAUGGCUUGAGUUUGGGAGAGGGAUGCGGAAUUCCAGGUGUAGCGGUGAAAUGCGUAGAUAUCUGGAGGAACACCGGUGGCGAAGGCGGCAUCCUGGACCAAUACUGACGCUGAGGAGCGAAAGCCAGGGGAGCAAACGGGG